rnacentral:rRNA from 1 species
CAGUAGCCGCGGGAAUACGUAGGUGGCAAGCGUUGUCCGGAAUUAUUGGGCGUAAAGGGCUCGCAGGCGGUUUCUUAAGUCUGAUGUGAAAGCCCCCGGCUCAACCGGGGAGGGUCAUUGGAAACUGGGAAACUUGAAUGCAGAAGAGGAGAGUGGAAUUCCACGUGUAGCGGUGAAAUGCGUAGAGAUGUGGAGGAACACCAGUGGCGAAGGCGACUCUCUGGUCUGUAACUGACGCUGAGGAGCGAAAGCGUGGGGAGCGAACAGGAUUAGAUACCCGAGUAGUCCCUGUCUCUUAUAC